rnacentral:rRNA from 1 species
AUUGAACGCUGGCGGCAGGCUUAACACAUGCAAGUCGAGCGGGGUGAUGGUGCUUGCACUAUCACUUAGCGGCGGACGGGUGAGUAAUGCUUAGGAAUCUGCCUAUUAGUGGGGGACAACAUCUCGAAAGGGAUGCUAAUACCGCAUACGUCCUACGGGAGAAAGCAGGGGAUCACUUGUGACCUUGCGCUAAUAGAUGAGCCUAAGUCGGAUUAGCUAGUUGGUGGGGUAAAGGCCUACCAAGGCGACGAUCUGUAGCGGGUCUGAGAGGAUGAUCCGCCACACUGGGACUGGGACACGGCCCAGCCUCCUACGGGAGGCAGCAGUGGGGAAUAUUGGACAAUGGGGGGAACCCUGAUCCAGCCAUGCCGCAUGUGUGAAGGAGGCCUUAUGGUUGUAAAGCACUUUAAGCGAGGAGGAGGCUCUUUUGGUUAAUACCCAAGAUGAGUGGACGUUACUCGCAGAAUAAGCACCGGCUAACUCUGUGCCAGCAGCCGCCGUAA